rnacentral:rRNA from 1 species
AACGAACGCUGGCGGCAUGCCUAAAACAUGCAAGUCGAACGCCCUAGCAAUAGGGAGUGGCGCACGGGUGAGUAACAUGUGGGAAUAUGCCUUUUGGUACGGAACAACGUUUGGAAACGAACGCUAAUACCGUAUGGUCCCUCCGGGGUAAAGAUUUAUCGCCAAAAGAUUAGCCCGCACUAGAUUAGCUAGUUGGUAAGGUAAUGGCUUACCAAGGCGACGAUCUAUAGCUGUUCUGAGAGGAAGAUCAGCCACACUGGGACUGAGACACGGCCCAGACUCCUACGGGAGGCAGCAGUUAGGAAUAUUGGACAAUGGGCGCAAGCCUGAUCCAGCCAUGCCGCGUGAGUGAUGAAGGCCUUCGGGUUGUAAAGCUCUUUAGCCGACGAAUAUAAUGACUGUAGUCGGAGAAUAAGCCCCGGCUAACUUCGUGCCAGCCGCCGCUGUAACAC